rnacentral:rRNA from 1 species
GGGGAAUAUUGCACAAUGGAGGAAASUCUGAUGCAGCCAUGCCGCGUGUGUGAAGAAGGCCCGAGGGUUGUAAAGCACUUUUAGUGAGGAGGAAAGGUUAGUAGUUAAUACCUGCUAGSUGUGACGUUACUCACAGAAAAAGCACCGGCUAACUCUGUGCCAGCAGCCGCGGUAAUACAGAGGGUGCAAGCGUUMUUYGGAAUUACUGGGCGUAAAGCGCGCGUAGGCGGAUUGUUAAGUCAGUUGUGAAAGCCCUGGGCUCAACCUAGGAACGGCGWUUGAWACUGGCMRUCUAGAGUUUAGKAGAGGGAAGGGGAAUUUCHGGAGUAGCAGUGAAAUGCGUAGAUAUCAGRAGGAACAUCAGUGGCGAAGGCGCCUUCCUGGAYUAAAACUGACGMUGAGGUGCGAAAGCGUGGGGAGCAAACGGGMUUAGAUACCCCGGUAGUYCACGCCCUMAACGAUGUCAACUAGCUGUUGGUCUUAUUAAAAMGAUYAGUAGCGCAAGCUAACGCG